rnacentral:rRNA from 1 species
AUGCCCCUUUCUCUGCAUAAGAUCAAGCAUGGUAUGCUGCUUCCGGUUAUUCACAGAGUUGAUCGCCGUCUCUCUGGUUGGCUGGCCACCUUUCUUUCCUGGGGAGGGCAUCUCACGCUCAUUAACUCAGUGCUGGCAAGUAUACCGAGUUAUUUCAUGACUUGCUUUCCGUGGCCCAAGGAACCACUUAGCAAGCUGGAGGGCCUCCUUCGAGCUUUCUUCUGGCAAGGCAAGAACAAGAUCAAAGGUGGUCAGUGCCUCGUGGCUUGGGACAAGGUGGUUCUCCCCGUGCUAAUGGAGGUCUGGGCAUUAGAGAUUUACACGCUCAUAAUGAGGUUAUGCCUUGCAAGUUUGUGGCAAAAAUUCUUCAAUCCUCAGACAUUCCUUGCUACCGCUGGUUUGCAUCUCAGUACUGCAAGGCUAUCCUACCUUUGGGCAGCAACCACAAGGAUACGGCCAUAUGGAAGGGUUUUAAAGGCUGCAUUUCUCUGGUCAUGUCUUCCACUCGUUGCUCUGUUGGCCUUGGUUCCCAUGUCUCCUUUUGGCAUGAACAGUGAUUGGAAGUUGGCAGGCUGA